ensembl:lncRNA
CCAUCUUUGAAUAGAAUUUCUGUGACUGUGUUUGUUGUCAAAAGUUGCACGUGCAGAAAGGUUCACAAAUAUAUAUACAUUUUUUAAUUGACUGUCUAUUUAUCAUAAAAAAUUAAGUUUACGUUUAAUACUGAUAACACAGAGAGAACGUGAAGCUGAUUUCACAUCCCCUUCUUCCGGAGCGAUUCAACAACAACAGGAUGCCCGGUCGAAAGAAAAGUUUAAUUAGGGAGGCCUACGACAAGCACAUAUCAGAGAGAGCGGUCUCGUACCAGAGAGUGGUCAACGUUGUGGAGAGGAGGACUGCAGUAACAACACCUGAGCAUGAAUAUGACAGAGAAUUUGAAUACGAAACCAGUCGCUAUAGCAGGAUUCAAAGUUACCAUGACAAUGACCAGAGAGGAUACCAUAGCGACAGCAUUCACCUGGGAAACGAUCGUGGAUACCAUGGCCACAGUACUGCCAUAGGUAGCAUCAGAGGGCGGAACUCCCCAAACCCCCGACAGGAGGAUUACAGAGAUUCAUACUACAGGGCAUUCCGAGAUGACGUUCCGGUUGGACUUCAAGGAGAGAGGAGGGACAGCAGUGGAACAGGUCUCCCCCCCACCCACAGAGGUCAAGACUUAGCUCCUCUCAUGAGGACUCUGUCUUCGGCCCACCUGGACAGAAUAGACCCUAAGCUCAUUCAGGCCCUGAUUCUCUUGGGCCGAGGGUAGGCCCAUUUGUUCCUGGUGCACCUGGGUGCUAACCGGCAGUUGGGUUUUUGAGAAAUGAAGUUGUUUUCUAGAAAAUCAGUUCUGCUGUUUUUGAAGAUUGAACCCACUUAUGUUUCUCAGUCCAGACACUUCAUUUGAUGUCUACUUUUUAAUUUUUUUUCUUUCAUUUUACACUUAGUUGUGUAAAGCUAUAGCCUUAGUUCUGUCAUAGAGUGGACCUGAAUGAAUUAGCCCUUUCAUUUCUCUCGUUGUCUCUCUCUCUCUGUAUCUCGGUCUUUUCUGCAGGAAGGACUCUGAGGAUUUUUUAAGAAGGGACCUGGGCUCCUACCCAACUGGCACUGCCAGGGACCCCUAUGCUACAGUACGAGACCGCUCUCCCGUUAGAAGGGAUAACCCGCCAGGCCCUCUUCCCAGGAGGGGAACUCCACCUGCUCCUAUUUCCCGGAGGGGAACUUUACCUGCUCCUAUUCCCAGGAGGGGUACCCCACCUGCUCCUAUUCCCAGGAGGGAUGGCCCGCCAGGCCCUGUUCUAUGGAGGGAUACCCCGCCAGGCCCUGUUCCCAGGAGGGAUACCCCGCCAGGCCCUGCUCUCAGGAGGGAUACCCCGCCCGGCCCUGCUCCCAGGAGGGAUACCCCGCCCGGCCCUGCUCCCAGGAGGGAUACCCCGC